rnacentral:lncRNA from 14 species
CUUUGAAAAGCAGCUUCAUCAGCGCUCCAUUAUAUUAUCUGGGUUAUAAUCUAAGGUAUUUUGAAAAAUAAUGAUGCUCAAAGAGAUUGAACACUAAAACAUUAAUU